UGGAGCAGCAGCUGCGCCUCCCGCAAUCGGCCGCUCCGGUGCGGCAGCAGCGCAAGGGCCAGAAGCGCAAGCUGGAGGACGCCGUCGCCGUCGCCGUCACCGUCGCUCCCUCUCCCCCGCCGGCUGCCGAGGAGGAUCGGCAGAUCUGUUUCCAUCGCUCCGAGCAGGCGCUGGCCCGGGAGGUGGCGGAGCAGGUCGAUGUUCUCGAG
rnacentral:misc_RNA from 1 species